GUGCCAGCCGCCGCGGUAAUACGGAGGAUGCAAGCGUUAUCCGGAUUUAUUGGGUUUAAAGGGUGCGUAGGCUGUUUGUCAAGUCAGGGGUGAAAUACCUGAGCCUAACUCAGGAACUGCCUUUGAUACUGGCAGGCUGGAAUACGGAUGCCGUGGGAGGAAUGAGUAGUGUAGCGGUGAAAUGCAUAGAUAUUACUCAGAACACCGAUUGCGAAGGCAUCUCACGAAUCCGUCAUUGACGCUGAGGCACGAAAGCGUGGGGAUCAAACAGGAUUAGAUACCCUGGUAGUCCACGCAGUAAACGAUGAUAACUAACCGUCGGCGAUAUAGUGUCGGUGGCCAAGCGAAAGCGAUAAGUUAUCCACCUGGGGAGUACGUUCGCAAGAAUGAAACUCAAAGGAAUUGACGGGGGCCCGCACAAGCGGAGGAACAUGUGGUUUAAUUCGAUGAUACGCGAGGAACCUUACCCGGGCUCGAACGGCAAGUGAAGAGAUCCAGAGAUGGUGACGCCCUUCGGGGCACUUGUCGAGGUGCUGCAUGGUUGUCGUCAGCUCGUGUCGUGAGAUGUUGGCUCAAGUGCCAUAACGAGCGCAACCCUUGCUGCUAGUUACCAGCAUUUCGGAUGGGGACUCUAGCAGGACUGCCACCGUAAGGUGUGAGGAAGGCGGGGAUGACGUCAAAUCAGCACGGCCCUUACGUCCGGGGCGACACACGUGUUACAAUGGUGACUACAGAGGGAUGCCACCUGGCGACAGGGAGCGAAUCUCAAAAAGUCAUCUCAGUUCGGAUCGAAGUCUGCAACCCGAUUCGUGAAGCUGGAUUCGCUAGUAAUCGCGCAUCAGCCAUGGCGCGGUGAAUACGUUCCCGGGCCUUGUACACACCGCCCGU
rnacentral:rRNA from 1 species